rnacentral:rRNA from 1 species
UACGGAGGAUGCAAGCGUUAUCCGGAUUUAUUGGGUUUAAAGGGUGCGCAGGCGGCGCGUUAAGUCAGCGGUGAAAUGUCAUGGCUCAACCAUGUCCCUGCCGUUGAUACUGCCGUGCUAGAGUAUGGACGGCGCCGGCGGAAUGUGUCAUGUAGCGGUGAAAUGCUUAGAUAUGCCACAGAACACCGAUCGCGAAGGCAGCUGGCGAGGCCGGAACUGACGCUCAGGCACGAAAGCGUGGUGAUCAAAC